rnacentral:rRNA from 1 species
CAGUCGCCACGGUAAUACAGAGGAUGCAAGCGUUAUCCGGAAUGAUUGGGCGUAAAGCGUGCGCAGGCGGUUAUGUAAGACAGAUGUGAAAUCCCCGGGCUUAACCUGGGAACUGCAUUUGUGACUGGCGAGCUAGAGUAUGGCAGAGGGGGGUAGAAUUCCACGUGUAGCAGUGAAAUGCGUAGAGAUGUGGAGGAAUACCGAUGGCGUAGGCAGCCCCCUGGGCCAAUACUGACGCUCAUGCACGAAAGCGUGGGGAGCAAACAGGAUUAGAUACCCGCGUAGUCCCUGUCUCUUAUAU